rnacentral:rRNA from 1 species
CCUGAUGGAGGGGGAUAACUACUGGAAACGGUAGCUAAUACCGCAUAACGUCGCAAGACCAAAGAGGGGGACCUUCGGGCCUCUUGCCAUCGGAUGUGCCCAGAUGGGAUUAGCUAGUAGGUGGGGUAACGGCUCACCUAGGCGACGAUCCCUAGCUGGUCUGAGAGGAUGACCAGCCACACUGGAACUGAGACACGGUCCAGACUCCUACGGGAGGCAGCAGUGGGGAAUAUUGCACAAUGGGCGCAAGCCUGAUGCAGCCAUGCCGCGUGUAUGAAGAAGGCCUUCGGGUUGUAAAGUACUUUCAGCGGGGAGGAAGGGAGUAAAGUUAAUACCUUUGCUCAUUGACGUUACCCGCAGAA